rnacentral:rRNA from 1 species
CCUACGGGGGGCAGCAGUGGGGAAUAUUGCACAAUGGGGGAAACCCUGAUGCAGCAACGCCGCGUGAGCGAUGAAGGCCUUCGGGUCGUAAAGCUCUGUCCUAAGGGAAGACUACUGACGGUACCUUAGGAGGAAGCCCCGGCUAAAUACGUGCCAGCAGCCGCGGUAAUACGUAGGCGGCGAGCGUUAUCCGGAAUUACUGGGCGUAAAGGGUGCGUAGGCGGCCCUUCAAGUCAGAGGUGAAAGGCGAGGGCUCAAACGAAGGAAGCCUUUGAAACUGGAGGGCUUGAGUGCAGGUGAGGUGUGUGAAGUUCCCAGUGUAGCGGUGAAAUGCGUAGAAAUUGGGAGGAACACCAGUUGCGAAGGCGAAUCUCUGGACUGUAACUGACGGUGAGGCACGAAAGCGUGGGGAGCGAACAGGAUUAGAUACCCGUGUAGUC